AAAAUUCACCGGGCCGAGUCCAAAGAUAAGAAAUGUCAAAAAAUGGGAACUGGUUGAUGGAUAUGGAUGAAACUUUGCAUCAGUGUUGUGUUUAUGAAUAGAAGUCAGGAAAAUAAAGGAUUACUGACAGACCAUGCAGUUACCAAAGCCUGGGUUUGAGUAUAUGACCUUACCUUUUCCUGGUAAAGAUCUAUAGAAGGACUCCUUCAGCUCUGUUUGGCAGCAGCUUUGUCAGGACACAUUGAGAAGGAACUCAUUUGUUGGUGGAAGGAUUAAAGAUGUACUACCCACCAGCUGUCAGGAGUUUUUAAAGUGGUGAAUUUAAACAGUGUUACAACAGAAUGAAGAUUUCUGAAAAAAGUAGAUGGCUAACCUAUUAUAUUUUGGGCAUCAUUUGACUUAGAUAGUGUUAAUGUUUAAAGUUGAAGACAGUAUAUAAUUCAUCAAGAACAUUGGAAUCCAGAAUUAAACCUCAAAUUUGACUGAUUUACUAUAGAACUAAUAGUACGAAAAUUCACCGGGCCGAGUCCUACUGAGGCCUUCGAAUUAAUAAUU